UGAAUACGAGACGCUAAGGCGUUGAAGUAGUGUAUAUCAUACUUCCAAGAAAAGCUUGCACUGUCAUAGAUAAAAAACGCCUGUACCAUAACCGACACAGGUGGGUAGGUAGAGUAUACUAAGGGGCGCGAGAUAACUCUCUCAAAGGAACUCGGCAAAAUAACUCCGUAACUUCGGGAGAAGGAGUGCCUUAUUUAUAAGGUUGCAAUAACAAGAUCCAAGCAACUGUUUAUCAAAAACACAGGUCUCCGCUAAGUCGUAAGACGAUGUAUGGGGGCUGACGCCUGCCCAGUGCCAGAAGGUUAAAGAAGUUGGUUAGCAAUAGCGAAGCUGAUAACUGAAGCCCUGGUGAACGGCGGCCGUAACAAUAACGGUCCUAAGGUAGCGAAAUUCCUUGUCGGGUAAGUUCCGACCCGCACGAAAGGCGUAAUGAUUUGGAUACUGUCUCGGAGAGGGGCUCGGUGAAAUAGACUUGUCUGUGAAGAUGCGGACUACCUGCACCAGGACAGAAAGACCCUAUGAAGCUUUACUGUAACUUGAAAUUGAAAUUGGACUUUAUUCGCGCAGUAUAGGUGGGAGGCGUUGAUUGUAAUCUUGCGGGAUUAUUGGAGCCAUCAGUGAGAUACCACCCUUGUAAUGUUAGAUUUCUAACUUUGAAUCAUUAUCUGGUCAAAGAACAGUUUCAGGCGGGCAGUUUGACUGGGGCGGUCGCCUCCUAAACGGUAACGGAGGCGUACAAAGGUUUCCUCUGAACGGUUAGAAAUCGUAUCUAGAGUGUAAAGGCAUAAGGAAGCUUGACUGUGAGACCUACAAGUCGAGCAGGGACGAAAGUCGGUCUUAGUGAUCUGACGGUACUGAGUGGAAAGGCCGUCACUCAACGGAUAAAAGUUACUCUAAGGAUAACAGGCUGAUCUCCCCCAAGAGUUCACAUCGACGGGGAGGUUUGGCACCUCGAUGUCGGCUCAUCGCAUCCUGGGGCGGUAGUACGUCCCAAGGGUUGGGCUGUUCGCCCAUGAAAGCGGUACGCGAGCUGGGUUCAGAACGUCGUGAGACAGUUCGGUCCAUAUCCGGUGUAGGCGUUAGAAUAUUGAGAGGAGCCUUCUUUAGUACGAGAGGACCGAGAAGGACAUACCUCUGGUGUACCAGUUAUCGUGCCAACGGUAAACGCUGGGUAGCUAUGUAUGGAGUGGAUAACCGCUGAAAGCAUCUAAAUGGGAAGCCCACCUCAAGAUAAGUAUUCUCGU
rnacentral:rRNA from 1 species